GCCAGUAUGGUGAAAUUGGUAGACGCGCUGGACUCAAAAUCCAGUGAUGGAAACAUCGUGUCGGUUCAAGUCCGACUACUGGCACCA
rnacentral:tRNA from 1 species